rnacentral:rRNA from 1 species
UACAGAGGUCCCGAGCGUUGUUCGGAUUCACUGGGCGUAAAGGGUGCGUAGGCGGUCGGGUAAGUCUGGCGUGAAAUCUCCAAGCCUAACUUGGAAACUGCGUUGGAUACUAUCCGGCUCGAGGAAUGGAGGGGAGACUGGAAUACUUGGUGUAGCAGUGAAAUGCGUAGAUAUCAAGUGGAACACCAGUGGCGAAGGCGAGUCUCUGGACAUUUCCUGACGCUGAGGCACGAAAGCCAGGGGAGCAAACGGG